UACGUAGGCAGCGAGCGUUGUUCGGAGUUACUGGGCGUAAAGGGUGUGUAGGCGGUUCUUUAAGUUUGGUGUGAAAUCUCCCGGCUCAACCGGGAGGGUGCGUCGAAUACUGAGGGACUAGAGUACGGGAGAGGAAAGUGGAAUUCCAGGUGUAGCGGUGGAAUGCGCAGAUAUCAGGAGGAACACCGGUGGCGAAGGCGGGAUCCUGGGCCAGUACUGACGCUGAGGAGCGAAAGCGUGGGGAGCAAACAGGG
rnacentral:rRNA from 1 species